UCCUGGCUUAACUAAAAGCUGAGCCAUCACUGUCAUUAGCAACAUUGAUACAACAGCACCCUUCAUUUUUGCUGGUACUAUACUUUGAACUGCGACCCACUAAUCGCUUCUAGCUGCUUGUUUUAGUUUUGGUAUGCUUUGAAGUGAAAUUGGAGGAUGUAUAUAUAGGCAUUUGAAGUUGAAGAAUGUUACAAGUUGUGGGUCAUGCCACAGCAAUAGCUGUUAGUGUAUUUUGUCAUCUGCUUUAUCUGUUGGUUUCCCAAAAUAGUAAAUAGGGAUGGGCUUCUGAAUCAUGUUUGCACUUUCUGUUGGGUCAUGUCUGGCUUGGUGAAAGGAGUAUCACCAUAGCUGGUUGUAAUAAAAUUUCCAGCAUCUUGGAUCAUAAUAUAAGGUAAUUGAAAGUGAUAAUCAUGUUUUAGAUAUUAGUAAGUAAAUUAGUAAGCGUUCAUCUCUCAUUCAUACAUGAGAAUGUGUGUGUAAUUUAUGCUUGUAUAUCUCUUUUUUUCUGAACGAUUCAAUUGCGUUUUUUGUCCUUCUAUUUCUUCUUUUCCCUUCUUAUUAUAUGUUAUGGCAACUCUGAGAAGGAAUAUCAGUGACUUAAGGUAAGGAUUUAGUAAUCACUCUAGAUAAGCAUAAUAUAUAGUAGUCAGUAACAUCUCUUGAUGACUACAUGCUUAGUGAGACAAAUAGUUGAGCUGGCUGAUCAAUUAUAUCUCAAAGUUAAUAAUGACAAAGGAAGAUUAAACCUUUUUGUGCGCCUAAAGAUCCAACAACGAGCAAUUCAGCAAAAGAAAUGAUGAGUCAAGUAUAAAAGAAGAGGCAAGAUUGUUGAAGUUUAUACUUAGGAAUUCUGUUUGAAACUGUGUGGAACGAUGAUAUUAGAUCUUUCCUAAUAGUUUGAAAAUUUAAAUUAAUUACACCUAAUUAAAUUAUUGAGAAAGUUAUGUAAAGGUUUUUGGUGUUUUGAUGUAACUAUAACUGGGUCCAGUAUUUCUCAAAAUAACAAUUUAAAGUGAGCUGAAAUUAAUAAAUAUAUUUUCCUUUGCAGGAACUGAAUUGUUACUUUUAGAAAAUAAACUGGUUGUGAUUAUUAAAACUUAAAAAUCUCCAUCUGAUUUAGUUUCGGUUAUUUCACAUUGUAUGUAUAGAUUUGCAUUAAUACUGGAGUAUUAUUAUAUAGCUUGGCCUUAUAUAAAAAUCUCAGAUGCAACCUAUUGUUUUCGCCCCCAUUGUUGUUGUUCUUCUUAGAUAAAACAAAAAAUGUAUUGAAAAGAGAGAAUGAACUUUGUUUACUUUGGAUUCAACUCACACUUGCUCGUUUAUCUCUACUAUUUAUGUAGGAUUAGGGAGAGACCAGCAACUUGUAUUUGUAUUAUGAAGAAGUCAACCUAACAACUGAGAUUGGUUCCAAUAUGAAUACCAAAUUGGUUGCAGUAUUCCUUGUAGGAAUGAAUCCGAGCAUGAACAGCUCCAGGGUUUUCGCCAUUGCAAUCUUUGCCAUUGGUGGCCCAGAUAGUUGCUUAGAAGCCUUGCCUCAUGACAGAUCGAACGUUUGAUAUCUAGAACCACAAGGCUGUCUUGAAAGACACGAGGGGAUCCUUGCCCACGGUUUCUUCGUAAUUAAUGUUAUUUCUUUUUUUGUUACAAUUCGCACACACAUAUAUAUAUAUAUAGGGUUCUAAUAUUCAAUGAAGUAUACAACAAUUUAUUCUUCUACAGAUAAUGCACUUGAGAUUGUUGCUUUAAUUAUCUCCAGUUUUUGUUCAAUUCAUCUGUAGGAGCUUUCAGUAACUAAUGUGAUAUGGAGCUGGGCACUAGCAUCUAAAAGUUAGGUUCCCUUUGACGUUAUUGUUAUUCCUAAUAAUUGAUAAAGACUGAAGAAAAAGCCACACAAAAAAAAAAGGGUUGCAGCAGAAGAGAUAAGAUGAGGCAAAAAGACAAUGUUAUGGUUUAGGUGCAGAACUGACUGGAGAGAGGAAAUCUGGUUAAAUGUUUUAAUUAAUUAGGGCAAAGAUUAGGUAGAAUAUGAAUUAUUUUAUGUUAUUUCCGAAUCAAGAUAGAUUAAACAUACUUAAAAUUAAAAAUUUUGUAUAUAAUAUUUGUCUUUAUUAGACUGGGAGUUUAUAAGCAUCCAUUAGAGAGGAAACCUUAUUUUAUGGCUUACCUAUAAGUUUACAGUCAAUAUAAAUAAAAUUAAUAAGACAGUAAUUAAUUAAGAACAGAUAUUAGAGAAUUUUAACUUUAGAGAUCGGUGGAUUUUCUUUAAUGAUCCUCAAAAUCUAGUUCCAAAUAUCUCAACCCAUUAUCUGAUCCAAACGCACAUCCAUAACCAUGCUGCAUCUUUGGCAUGCUCAGAAUUAGUUUGAAGAAAAGGAAGUCCAAAUUAGACUUACUUAAAGCUUGAUGCUCUCUGAAAAUUUAGUCAUUAAUUUACUGAAUUAUGGAGAUUUUGGCCCGAGCAGGGUACACCCUGGUGGAAUCUUUUAAUGUGGGUUCAAUCAUAUCAUUAUGAUUAUGAAUAGAAGAAACAAAACUUCUGAGCUCAUUCUUAGAAAAUAUUGUUUGAUAUUAUGUAUGGAAAUUCAUCCUGGUGUAGAUUAUAGCAGUGUGAUCAUACUAAAUCUUCUAGUGUAGUAUAUUUAUAUAAAUAUAUAGACAUAUAUAGAUAAGUAGAUAUAUAGAUAGAUAGAUAGAGGGAGAGAGAGAGAGAGAGAGAGAAUGUUGGUAUUUUGUACGAAAAUUCAUCCUGGUGUAGAUUAUAGCAAUGUAAUCACACUAGAUCUUCUAGUGUAGUAUGUUUAUAAAUAUAUAGAC
rnacentral:lncRNA from 1 species